rnacentral:rRNA from 1 species
AAAUUGAAGAGUUUGAUCAUGGCUCAGAUUGAACGCUGGCGGCAGGCCUAACACAUGCAAGUCGAACGGUAACAGGAAGCAGCUUGCUGCUUCGCUGACGAGUGGCGGACGGGUGAGUAAUGUCUGGGAAACUGCCUGAUGGAGGGGGAUAACUACUGGAAACGGUAGCUAAUACCGCAUAACGUCGCAGGACCAAAGAGGGGGACCUUCGGGCCUCUUGCCAUCAGAUGUGCCCAGAUGGGAUUAGCUUGUUGGUGAGGUAACGGCUCACCAAGGCGACGAUCCCUAGCUGGUCUGAGAGGAUGACCAGCCACACUGGAACUGAGACACGGUCCAGACUCCUACGGGAGGCAGCAGUGGGGAAUAUUGCACAAUGGGCGCAAGCCUGAUGCAGCCAUGCCGCGUGUAUGAAGAAGGCCUUCGGGUUGUAAAGUACUUUCAGCGGGGAGGAAGGUGUUGUGGUUAAUAACCGCAGC